rfam:Spinacia oleracea cultivar SynViroflay scaffold2184.con0003.1, whole genome shotgun sequence.
GCCUCUAAUGAUGAUCAAAACAAUACUUUCGUUCUUCCGAGAUAUUUUUAUGCGGAAAAAACAUUGGAGACCUGAACUGAAGAGGC